rnacentral:rRNA from 1 species
UACGUAGGGUGCAAGCGUUAAUCGGAAUUAUUGGGCGUAAAGCGUGCGCAGGCGGUUAUGCAAGACAGAUGUGAAAUCCCCGGGCUUAACCUGGGAACCGCAUUUGUGACUGCAUAGCUGGAGUACGGCAGAGGGGGAUGGAAUUCCGCGUGUAGCAGUGAAAUGCGUAGAUAUGCGGAGGAACACCGAUGGCGAAGGCAGUCCCCUGGGCCUGUACUGACGCUCAUGCACGAAAGCGUGGGGAGCAAACAGG